AGAGUUUGAUCAUGGCUCAGAUUGAACGCUGGCGGCAGGCCUAACACAUGCAAGUCGAGCGGUAGAGAGAAGCUUGCUUCUCUUGAGAGCGGCGGACGGGUGAGUAAUGCCUAGGAAUCUGCCUGGUAGUGGGGGAUAACGCUCGGAAACGGACGCUAAUACCGCAUACGUCCUACGGGAGAAAGCAGGGGACCUUCGGGCCUUGCGCUAUCAGAUGAGCCUAGGUCGGAUUAGCUAGUUGGUGAGGUAAUGGCUCACCAAGGCGACGAUCCGUAACUGGUCUGAGAGGAUGAUCAGUCACACUGGAACUGAGACACGGUCCAGACUCCUACGGGAGGCAGCAGUGGGGAAUUGUUCGCAAUAGGCGAAAGCCUGACGACGCAACGCCGCGUGGAGGAUGAAGACCUUCGGGUCGUAAACUCCUUUCGACCGAGAUGAAUACUCAUUGACCCAAUACGUCGAUGAGCUGACAGUAUCGAGGGAAGCAGCCCCGGCUAACUCUGUGCCAGCCGCCGCGGUAAUAC
rnacentral:rRNA from 1 species